UACAGGGGGUGCAAACGUUGCUCGGAAUCAUUGGGCGUAAAGCGCACGUAGGCGGUCUGUUAUGUCGGAUGUGAAAGCCCCCGGCUCAACUGGGGAGGGUCACGCGAUACUGAUCGACUGGAAGGCAGGAGAGGGUAGUGGAAUUCCCGGUGUAGUGGUGAAAUGCGUAGAUAUCGGGAGGAACACCAGUGGCGAAGGCGACUACCUGGCCUGUUCUUGACGCUGAGGCGCGAAAGCUAGGGGAGCAAACGGG
rnacentral:rRNA from 1 species